AAUCAAAUCAAAGUAUAACCUUUCCAUUAAUAAAACAUUUAGCUUAAAACAAAGACUUUACUGACAAUACAAAGUCACAAAAGAAGAUUAUGAAGUUAUAAUCUGACUCCAAACAACAUAAUACAUCUCAAUAUGAAGUAUAAGUUGCAUUUGGUGCUGUUAAAUAGCUCAUUUUUAACUGUGGUUUUCAUUUCUUUCACAAAGUGUGAUAUAACAAUCAUUUACCUCUGAGUGAGAGUCACUGUCUGACUCCACGUCUGACACACUGGAGUGUCCUGAGGCUUCUUCCCUGAGUUCAGUCUUUACCCUCUCCAGACCACCUGGGAAACACAGGAACACACACUGAGCUGAAAUCUUUGGCAUAAAUAUUUCAUGAUAUGUUUUGUUUUGUUAGUACCACUGCUCCUUGAUGCUCACCUCCUCCAGAGGUCCCACCUCCAGCCUCCUCAGCACCUCCCUGGUGUGCUGUUCUAAGAUGUCCAGGUUGGAGGGCAGUUUGGGGGCCUGCCGCUGCUGCUCCCUCAACCGCCUGGCUGCCUUUCUUGCCCGCCGGACCUGGCUCAGCUUCUCCAGUGUGGAGCGAGUGGCCGGGCAGCCGUUUAAUCCAGAUACUACUCCACACCCACUUCCCUGAGAUUUCACUGGCUUGCUACCACUGACUGGUUCCUCCUAUUGAUGUAAAUAGCAAAAAAAAACAACAUGGAAUCAAAUAUCAGUCAUUCACAAGUUCAUUAAUUGCCUGCAAGAAAAUGCAAGAAUUGUUUGCCAUUUAACUUUUUUUUUCCCCCCCCAAAGUUGCCUCAUAAUCAGAUGUCAGUGUGGCUGUCCUGUGUAUCCUGUGUGUGGGACGUGAGGCCGACCUAAGCUGUACGUUACGUAACAAAGGCCAAUGAACUCAACAGAUCAUAAACAGAAUCCUUAUUUGCCAAAAAACAGUUUAGAAAAGGCAAAAAUUACACAAUCUAGCAAGAAAUACAGAUAAUGUACUACACUGGUAAAGAGUGUGUAGGCUGCAGUUCAUUUGUAGCAAUAAGGUUUUUCUUAUUUCUUAAUAUGAAGUGAAAUGGUGUCAAAUAUUGUAAGAAUUGUAAAAAAUCAUAGUUAACUUUCACAAAACUUUUGCUCACUUUUAUUAAUUGGGCACUGCUCCAGUUACUGUUCCAGUUCCCCUAACAAUGUUAAAUAUUCAAUAUUUAUAUAUCCUAUUCUAUGUGGACUUCAACCCUGUACCCUCCCAAAUUAUUGAGUAUAUUAGAUCGCAUACCACUGGGAAGGCUGAUUCUCACCAGUUAGUAAAUCCAUCUAUCCAUCCACCUGCUAACUCCUGAUUGUACAUUUUUCCUUAUAAUUUUAGAAUUGAAUGAGCUAACACGCAAUCUAUGUCCUUUUAGUGACAUAGAAUUUUGUGCUUCAGCAGUCUAAUUAGUUUUUUAGAUCAAGUACCAUUAAUACAUUUCUUUGGGGUUUUUGUGUGUGUGCGCAUCCAGUUAUGCACUUGUAAUGUAACGUGGAUUUGACAUUUAUAUGGGUUGUGUGUGACCACUCCAUAGUGGUUUUCACAUGUAUAUAUCCAGUUCGCAAAUAAUGUGCAAUGUUUUAUCUCCGUUGUCUACAUACACGAGGUUGUUCACACCCUCAUCGUUACCAGAGGAAGAACAUUUGUGGUUGAAACAUGCAAACUGGUAGAAGGAGGAGAAGACAGAAGUGUGUGGGUACUUUUUUUGUUUUCUUUGUGCAGAUUAUUGCUACCCAGCACCUGUUUAAAAUGUAUGGAUGUGCAUGUGCCUCCUGAUAAUAACCACUGCUAACUAAAGGACAUCAUCUCUAGAAAAUUAUUUAAGUACCAUGAUGACAUUUGAUAACGUCCCAGCGUCUAAAGACUGACCGUCCUGAAUUUGUCUCUUGAAAAACAAGUUACAGCAUAAUACAUUUUAUGAUAUUAAAAAAACACCACCGAUGCAUCAA